AUGAAUAAACAUCAAUAAUAAAUAUAUAAACAAAUAGAUAAAUAAAUAAAUAGUAAAUACAUAAAAGAUAAAUAAAUGAGCAAAUAUAAAUAAACAGAUAAACAAUCAUAUAAAUAAAUAAACAUGUAAAUUAAUAAAUAUGUGAAUAAAUGAUGAAUGAACGAUUGAAAGAGUAAUAAGUAAAUAAAUAAAUAAUUAAAUAAUUAAAUAAGGAACUAAAUAACUCAAUAAAUAAAUAAAUGGAUAGAUAAAUAAAUUUAUAUACAUACGUACAUAAAUAUAGAUGGACUGAUAGAUAGAUAACUGUGUAACUAUACAAAUAAAUCAGUAAACAAAUAAAUAAAUAUACAAAUACAUGCAGAAAGAAACAAACUUUACAUUAAAACUUCCUAAAUCAAGGUGCAUAUACAAAGAGUAAACACAAGACCAGCAUAUCUUUCUCCUUUGAAAACAAAAACCCUACGAAGCAAAAACACAAACACCUAAUAAGUAUAUUAUUCAUCGCAAAGGAAUCAGAUGCAUGCUUCAAGAAAUCAAAACCAAGGGAACCCCGGAAGCCCAAACAGGACAUAAAGAUACAAAUAUGGGAAAAAUUAGAAGAAACCCAAUUGAAACCCAAGAGAAACCAAUUUUACAUUAAAAGUUCGCAAAUCAAGAUUCAUAUGGAGAGAUCAAACACGUAACGGGCAUAAAAUUAACCGAAAAGAAAACAGAUACUUACUACAGGAAAUCAAAACCAGGGGCACCCAAUAAGCCUGAAGUGGAUGUAAAGAAACAACCUUUGGGAAAAUAAAAAGAAACCCAAU
rnacentral:lncRNA from 1 species